UACGGGGGGAGCAAACGUUGUUCGGAGUUACUGGGCGUAAAGGGCGUGUAGGUGGUAAUGUAAGUCUGGCGUGAAAUUUUUCGGCUUAACCGGGAAAGGUCGUCGGAUACUGCAUCACUAGAGGACGGUAGAGGCGUGUGGAAUUCCGGGUGUAGUGGUGAAAUGCGUAGAUAUCUGGAGGAACACCGGAGGCGAAGGCGGAUCACUGGACUGCCACUGACGCUGAGGCGCGAAAGCUAGGGGAGCAAACAGG
rnacentral:rRNA from 1 species